AGACCUCACCGUAAGAUGCCACUCACUGUGCUUCAUGUUUGGUCUCUCCACGCUGAACCGAGUUCCACAGGGAGAUCUGCUUGAUCAAAUACCUGAGACACAUUUAGAGAUUCAGAUACUUUGUUUCUUCAACCAGCACACUGAAGAUUAGUGCUUACAUACCUUACCACACUGACAUCCGAAAACCCUUAGCUUCCAGAGAAGUAAUACCUUGCAACCGCAAAUCAGCUCUGCAUGAACGACCAUAAUGGGAUAUUAGCAUUCUUCGUGCAACAAGGCAGUAUUCCUUUGAGAACAUUAACAUUUAACCUUGUGAGUUCACUUCUACAGAAACAAUAAACUUUAUUCAUCAGC